CCGCAAGCCUUCCAGCGUGGCUGGGUCGUGCCCGUGACCCUGAUCAUUCCUGUAGAGCUUGCAAGAGCAAAUCUGUGGCGUUUGAGGCCUCCCUCUGCUCUUGUCUGCGGGGUGAGGUUAUAGAAAUCUCAGACAAGU